AUUGAACGCUGACGGCAGGCCUAACACAUGCAAGUCGAGCGGAGUGGCGGACGGGUGAGUAAUGCCUAGGAAUCGGCCUGGUAGUGGGGGAUAACGUCCGGAAAGGGGCGCUAAUACCGCAUACUAUCAGAUGAGCCUAGGUCGGAUUAGCUAGUUGGUGGGGUAAAGGCUUACCCAGGAGAAGAUCCGUAACUGGUCUGAGAGGAUGAGCAGUCACAGUGGAACUGAGACCCGGUCCAGACUCCUACGGGAGGCAUCCGUGGGUAAUAUUGGACCAGUGGCGAAAGCCUGAUCCAGCCAUGCCGCGUGUGUGAAGAAGGUCUUCGGCUUGUAAAGCACUUUAAGUUGGGAGGCGUUACCAACAGAAUAAGCACCGGCUAACUUCGUGCCAGCAGCCGCGGUAAUAC
rnacentral:rRNA from 1 species